rnacentral:rRNA from 1 species
CAGUAGCCGCGGGAAUACGAAGGGGGCUAGCGUUGUUCGGAAUUACUGGGCGUAAAGGGCGCGUAGGCGGCCAUUCAAGUUAGAUGUGAAAGCCCUGGGCUCAACCUAGGAAUUGCAUUUGAUACUGUUUGGCUUGAGUUCGGGAGAGGUGAGUGGAAUUCCCAGUGUAGAGGUGAAAUUCGUAGAUAUUGGGAAGAACACCAGUAGCGGAGGCGGCUCACUGGACCGACACUGACGCUGAGGCGCGAAAGCGUGGGGAGCAAACAGGAUUAGAUACCCCCGUAGUCCCUGUCUCUUAUAC